UCCAACCUGACUCAAUAACAAUCUCAGAUGUUAUGGUACUGCCACUUUUUGGUUUUGAAUUUUUUGCCUUGUGUAGACUGGAUCAUUCCUUAUUUUUGUGGGUACACAGUAGGUUCUUCUCACAUCUGUAGUGCCUCCUGCCUGGGAUGUAUUAUAUAUCCAAAGACACUGGAUUUUCAGAGAUUUGUAGGAUAACAUCUGGUUUUCUUACAUGCUGUUGUUCUCCAUGGGAGGUAAUCAAGCUUGCACACUGUGAUCCCUUGGGGAUCUUUGGCCGUAGAUGGACAGUGUGCACUUGCUGUCCGUGUUUCACAUAAACCAUUCAGCUGUGUGUUCAGCUACAAUGCCACAAAUUAUUGGAACUUCACUUUGAUAUUUCAGACAUUUCCAUAAAAAUAUUCAGUGAUGUGUAGAUACUGCCUUUGAAUGAUUUUGGUCUUCCAUUUUUCCAGAGUAGUGGCUUAGCAACUGCACACAGGAAGAGACUACUCUGCAGGUAGCACUGAUGACACCUUUCUGCUCUUCGAUCUGUACUCAAACUGAACAGGAGUUUCCACAGCUCAGCUGAAUUCAGCAAAAUGGGGAGAGGACGAAGUAAGAUUGCUCCAUGAAGAUUCCUAGUGUCAGCCUUUGAUCCCAAUUUGUCAGCACCAAACCACAGUGUCUUCAAGAUGAAGGUAUGGGUCUGGGACAUGCAGAAACACCAUGCCAAGGCACACUCAUUUCACAUGACUGAAAUGCCUGGUGAAAGUGUAGCCAGUGAUUAGCCACCACUGUUUCCCAGGCUGCUAGGAAAUGUUUUAUCAUGGUGACAAGGAAAGCACCACCAAGCAGACCUUGUGGAACCAACUUCACAGUGGCAAUAUGGGACCAUGAGUGCUUUUUGAAGUUAUUUCUUAAGCGAUGUCAUGCGAUGUUCAGACAUGGACUUUGAAAACAACAUUGUACUAGGGAAUGAAUUAUGCAAAUGGGUUGAGUUAGGACAAGCAAAGUACAGUCUUAUGGCUCUUAAGUGAUAGUAUGGUUAAAACCAUCUCACUGAAGAAAGACUAGGAUGCUAAAGGAGAAUACAGCAAUCUCCAUGGCCAUCUAUGAAAACAGAUAAUCACCAUUUACAAAACUAUGGUCAAGGAAGUUUCUUGUGAAAAAUCUUUACUAGUCUGCUGUAUUGGGUUCACAUGGUCAGGUUUUUGUAGUAGAGAGGCUACAAAGGUUGCUUCUGUGAGAAGCUUUUAGAAGAUUCCUCCAUGUUCAGCAGAGCCAGUCUCAGGCAGCUCCAGCAUGGAUGUGGCACCAAUGGACACUUAAUGCCUUAAGUGUGAUAACACACUUAAGAAGGUAAAAUAAAAGUUAUUGCACAGAUGUAAUUGCAACCAGAAAAGAGAGAAAUGAGAGAAUAUGUCAGAGGAACAACUCAAUAGACAGCAAGGUUACUGAAGAAGGAGGAGAAGAAGGUUCCCCAGCCUCUGGAGCAGAGAUUUCCCUGCACCUCGAGAUGAAGACCAUGGCGAGGCAGCUGUUCCCCUGCAGCCCAUGGAGAACCACCGGGAUGCAGAGGUCCAUCUGCAGUCCAUGGGGCAGACCCACACUGGAGCAGGUGGAUGCCUGAUAGGAAACUGUCAACCCAUGGGAAGCCCGUGCUGGGGCCUGUGGACCCAUGAAGAGAGAAACCCAUGCUGGAGAAAUUUUCUUAGUAGGACUCACGACUCUGCUGGGAACCCAUGCUGGAGCAGGCUGAUCCUGAAGGACACCCAUUGAAAAGUAACAUUUUGUGGAGAGCUGUUUCCUGUGAGAUGGACUUGCAUUGUAGAAGUCCAUGGAGGACUGUUUCUCAGUGGAGGAACCCUACUCUGCAGCAGUAGAACUCCUCCCUCUGAGUAGCAGUGGGGACAAGGUGUGAUCACCUGUCUGUAACCCCCACUUCCCAUCUCCCUACACUGCUGAGGGGGAGGAGGUACAGCUUGAAAAGAGGAAGGGACAGAGGAAGGUGUUUUUAAGAUUUCUUUUGCUUUUCAUUACCCUGCUCUGAUUUUGUUAGCAAUAAAACCGU